rnacentral:rRNA from 1 species
GGAUAACACUUGGAAACAGGUGCUAAUACCGUAUAACACUAUUUUCCGCAUGGAAGAAAGUUGAAAGGCGCUUUUGCGUCACUGAUGGAUGGACCCGCGGUGCAUUAGCUAGUUGGUGAGGUAACGGCUCACCAAGGCCACGAUGCAUAGCCGACCUGAGAGGGUGAUCGGCCACACUGGGACUGAGACACGGCCCAGACUCCUACGGGAGGCAGCAGUAGGGAAUCUUCGGCAAUGGACGAAAGUCUGACCGAGCAACGCCGCGUGAGUGAAGAAGGUUUUCGGAUCGUAAAACUCUGUUGUUAGAGAAGAACAAGGAUGAGAGUAGAACGUUCAUCCCUUGACGGUAUCUAACCAGAAAGCCACGGCUAACUACGUGCCAGCAGCCGCGGUAAUACGUAGGUGGCAAGCGUUGUCCGGAUUUAUUGGGCGUAAAGCGAGCGCAGGCGGUUUCUUAAGUCUGAUGUGAAAGCCCCCGGCUCAACCGGGGAGGGUCAUUGGAAACUGGGAGACUUGAGUGCAGAAGAGGAGAGUGGAAUUCCAUGUGUAGCGGUGAAAUGCGUAGAUAUAUGGAGGAACACCAGUGGCGAAGGCGGCUCUCUGGUCUGUAACUGACGCUGAGGCUCGAAAGCGUGGGGAGCGAACAGGAUUAGAUACCCUGGUAGUCCACGCCGUAAACGAUGAGUGAUAAGUGUUGGAGGGUUUCCGCCCUUCAGUGCUGCA